AAAAAGACAAAUCCUGGUUUCCGUGUCCAAUGUUUGACCGUUCGUCUUAUUUGAAAAAAUUAUAAAAAAAAUUAAAAAAACAAGUCACGCAUAAAAUAUUAAUCAUGUUUUAUCAUCUAACAACAAUGAAAAUACGAAUUAUAAAAAAAUUUCAUAUAAGACGGACAGUUAAAGUUAGACACGGAAAUCUAGGGUUUGCCUUUUU
rnacentral:pre_miRNA from 1 species